rnacentral:lncRNA from 1 species
AGCUCAAUCUAAAUUCUGCGUUUAUUAGUUAAAAUAUGUUCAAGUCCUGGUAUUGAAGAUUUUACAGUUUCGCAUUUUAUAAUUUUCCCAAUGUUCACGAAGUGACCAGUUAAAGUCGUGCGAUAACUUGGACGGUAUUCAAUGCACUGUUGCACAAAUUUUGCGGUUUUCAAUCGGGAUAAUAUUACACUUUUUGCCUUUAACAGAGAUGGUGCACUUCUCCAAGAGGAUUUUUACACUUUCCUGAAUUGUGAACACAUGGGUGACUACUGAGGCUCUGAAGUGUAGGAUAUGCUUUACGUCGAUUAGUGAUCUGAAUUCGGGCACAAAGUCUUGCAGUUCAUGCGGUCCAUUUCCCGGUUCCACAAUGAAUAAGAGUGAGUUCUUCCCUGAAAUAUCGGUAGGAAAGUUCAAUAAACGGAGUAUAUCCGAGUCACUUAAAGAAAGAGAAGUACUGGUUUCAUUUUUAACCCCCCUGCUUGGCUUGGAUAAUAGAUAUACUGGAGUUUGCCACAUCACGUCUAACCUCAACUUCUGGCAGGAACUAUGUGUCAUUGUAGUGUCUGAUAUCAAGAGGCCAGAUUGAUUCUCGGAAGUCAAAAACGAUAAAUUAUUUUGAUUAGAAACGUUAUUAUUAAUCACUUUUUCAUUAUUAAGGAUAGUUGAUUUAUCCGUAACUGUUAACUUCAGUUUAUUAGAUAUUGUUUUAUCUUUACAUAUUAG